CGUAAAGCAGGCAAUGGAUGCCUAGGGCGCUAAAGCCGAAGAAGGACGUACGUGGCCACGAUAGUCGUCGGGGAGCUGCCAAGAAGCUGUGAUCCGACGGUGUCCGAAUGGGGAAACCCCUCCUUUAAGGAGACUCCGAUGUUAUGUCGGGGGGGGCACGUCCCGAACUGAAACAUCUAAGUAGGGACAGGAAAAGAAAUCAAAGAGAUUCCGUAAGUAAGCGGUGAGCGAAAGCGGAAAAGCCUAAACCCAGUCAUUGUGCGCAAGUACUUCGACCGGGUGUUGCGGGAAGGCUGAGGGAUCAAACGAGGGUAGUCGAACUGUCUGGAAAGGCAGGCUAUAAAACGUGAUAGCCGUGUAGGCGAAACCCGAGUUUGCUUGAAGCCGAAUUCCCAAGUACCAUGAGGCAAAUACCUUGUGGGAAUCUGGGGUGACCACACUCCAAGGCUAAAUACUUUAGCGGACCGAUAGUGAACUAGUACCGUGAGGGAAAGGCGAAAAGAAGGGUGAGAAACCUAGUGAAAUAGAACCUGAAAUUGUCUGCUGUCAAGCAGACGGAGCCCCUCCGCAAGGUCGGGGUAACGUCGUGCCUAUUGAAGAAUGAUCCGGCGAGUUUUCGAUUGUUGCGAGUUUAAGCCCGUAAUUCGGGAUUAGGCGAAGCGAAAGCGAGUCUUAAUAGGGCGUUUAGCAGCAGUUGGAAGACCCGAAACCUGGUGAGCUAACCAUGCUAAGCGGGCCGCUCUAAAGGGAAACAACCCAGACUGUCGUCUAAGGCCUCUAAAUGAACGCUUAGUGUUGAACGUAGUCAAAUUCCUCAGACAGCCAGGAGGUUGGCUCAGAAGCAGCCAUCCUUUAAAGAAAGCGUAACAGCUCACUGGUCGACUUUUUGGAGUUUGGCGCGGAAAAUGAACCGAGGCUAAGCUUCUUGCCGAAGACACAGAUCGUGUGCAUGGCAUACGCAAAUUCAAAUCUCUGAAUUCUAAGCUCUAAUUGGCAGUUGGGGGUUGGAUAUUCGAUUUCUGGAUUUUCGUGUGCUGUGCGCAUGGUGGUAGGGGAGCGUUCCGUUAACAGUGAAGAUUUGCCGUGAGGCAGGUUGGAGUGGACGGAAGUGAGAAUGCCGGAAUGAGUAGCGCAAUGGUUGUGAGAAUCAACCACGCCGAAACCCCAAGGUUUCCUGGGCUACAUUGUUUGACCCAGGGUAAGUCGGCACCUAAGGUGAGUCCCUCGCUGAGCGAGGGGGUAGCUGAUGGACGAGCCGUGAAUAUUCGGCUACAUAGUAAGUAUCGCUAAAUCGCGCAAGCGAAUAACUAGGGAUGGACAAAAUGGGAAAGACCGAACGCAUAUAGUGAAUGUGUGUCGCAAUCAGUAAGGUAGUUGGGCUUGGAAAAUCCGGCCUGGCGUUUAACCGAGCUGUGAUGGGAAAUCUGGCGAGUAAUCAACGGAUGACUCGGUAAUUUUCUGUUUUCAAGAAAAGAUUCGUAGUGAGAUACUUAUUAUGCCGUACCGCAAACCGACACUGGUGGGGUGGUCGAGUAGACCAAGGCGAUCGGGAGAAGGCAGUUCAAGGAACUCGGCAAAAAAGCUGGACGUAAUUUAGAGAGAUGUCCUUCCGCUUAAAGCGGACGCAGCGAAAGAUUAUUUCCCGACUGUUUAACUAAAACACAGGUCUGUGCAAACUUGAAAGAGAAGGUAUACAGGCUGAGGCCUGCCCAGUGCUCGUAAGUUAAGUGGAUGGCUGAGAUUACAUCAAGGUUUGAAAUGAAGCUCGAGUGAACGGCAGCAGUAACUAUAACUGUUCUAUGGUAGCGAAGUUCCUCGACAGGGGACAAUCCAUUGAAAAAUGGAAAAGAAAACUUGGCUAUAUGCUGGAACAACUGGAGUAUCUUGUGAUACUAUCGCCCAACGGAUAAAGCAGUCUCUGGUAGGUAGUAAUAAAGCACAAGUGCAGUCAAUCAGCAGGAAAGACUCCGAUGUGACAUCGGAGGAUCCUCAACGACUACACGCCAAGCCCCCGGUGUAACACCGGGGUGAAGAUAUAGUCUGAACUUGCAGGCGACUGUAAGAGCCUUGAUUGGAACUAGAAAGGUAUCCUAAAAAAGGAUUAACAUAUUGUGUCGGGUAAGUUCCGACCCGCACGAAAGGUUUAACGAGGGAAUAACUGUCUUGAACUGUCACCCGGCGAAUUUGAAAUGGCUGUGAAGAUGCGGCCUAACUCUACUAGGACAAAAAGACCCUAUGGAGCUUUACUGUAACCAGGCCCUGUUUUGGAUUUUGAGAUAGUUUAGAGUAGGAGGGACUCCGGUGUCAUAACUGGAGAAAAGUGAAACACCUCCCGUUUUGAAAUCUCAAGACUUACCCAAGGAAGCUGGAGACGCUUUCGGAGACAAGGUCUGGCUGGCAGUUUUACUGGGGAGGUAUCCUGCUAAAAGGUAACGCAGGAGUACUAAGGUGCACUAAACUCGGAUGGAAAUCGAGCGGGUCGUGUAACGGCAUAAGUGCGCUUGACUGUGAGAGCGGCGGCUCGAGCAGGGACGAAAGUCGGUCGUAGUGAUCCUCCGUCGCGUUGUGGGACGCACGGAGCUUAACGGAUAAAAGCUACCCUAGGGAUAACAGGCUGAUCGCCGCCAAGAGUCCAUAUCGACGCGGCGGUUUGGCACCUCGAUAGACCCAAUCUGGGUCAAUGUCGCCCCCCGAAGUAAUUCGGGGAGGAAAAAUUCAGCUCAUAUCGGUGAAACCCGACUAGCGCACUGAGCCGCGCUAAGGGCAAUACCGAGGGAAGUCUUCGUGACCCCGUAACGACUUUCCGGUUUAGAAACCGGAAGAUUUUCCGCCGAUGGCGGGAGAUAACACGCUGAGCCCCUUCUAUGUAUAAAGCUACGAAGGGUGAUGGUAUAGUCUAUGCCGCUAGUAAUAGCGGGGAAACAUGGUCGGCUCAUCCUAUCCUGGAGGGGCAGUACCUUCCAAGGGUCGGGCUGUUCGCCCGUUAAAAGGGUACGCGAGCUGGGUUC
rnacentral:rRNA from 1 species